AUUGAACGCUGGCGGCAUGCCUUACACAUGCAAGUCGAACGGCAGCAUGGAGGAGCUUGCUCCUCUGAUGGCGAGUGGCGAACGGGUGAGUAAAGCAUCGGAACGUACCGUGUAGUGGGGGAUAACGUAGCGAAAGUUACGCUAAUACCGCAUACGCACUGAGGUGGAAAGCAGGGGAUCGCAAGACCUUGCGCUAUACGAGCGGCCGAUGUCCAGAUUAGCUAGUUGGUAGGGUAAAGGCCUACCAAGGCGACGAUCUGUAAGCGGGUCUGAGAGGAUGAUCCGCCACACUGGGACUGAGACACGGCCCAGGACUCCUACCGGGAGGCAGCAGUGGGGAAUUUUGGACAAUGGGCGAAAGCCUGAUCCAGCCAUGCCGCGUGAGUGAAGAAGGCCUUCGGG
rnacentral:rRNA from 1 species